AUGUUCCUACGGGAGGCAGCAGUGGGGAAUAUUGCACAAUGGGGGAAACCCUGAUGCAGCGACGCCGCGUGAGUGAAGAAGUAUUUCGGUAUGUAAAGCUCUAUCAGCAGGGAAGAAAAAAGACGGUACCUGACUAAGAAGCCCCGGCUAACUACGUGCCAGCAGUCGCGGUAAUACGUAGGGGGCAAGCGUUAUCCGGAUUUACUGGGUGUAAAGGGAGCGUAGACGGCGCGGCAGGUCUGAAGUGAAAGGCAGGGGCUUAA
rnacentral:rRNA from 1 species